rnacentral:rRNA from 1 species
CAGCAGCCGCGGUAAUACGUAGGGUGCGAGCGUUAAUCGGAAUUACUGGGCGUAAAGCGUGCGCAGGCGGUUCGUUAAGACAGAUGUGAAAUCCCCGGGCUUAACCUGGGGACUGCGCUUAAUACAGGCAGUCUAGAGUGAGGAAGAGGGUUGUGGAAUUCCCAGUGUAGAGGUGAAAUUCGUAGAUAUUGGGAAGAACACCGGUGGCGAAGGCGGCAACCUGGUCCUUGACUGACGCUGAGGCGCGAAAGCGUGGGGAGCAAACAGGAUUAGAUACCCGAGUAGUCCCUGUCUCUUAUAC